AAAAAAAAAAAAAAAAAAGCUAACCUGAUAUGUUUUCACCUUUUGGCAUCUACAAGUUGACCAGAGAAUUAGGAUUUUGAGUUUGCAUGGCAUAAUGAAUGAAAUUGAACUAUGCAUCUAGAUUUUUAAAUUAUAUUAUGUGCAUUAUGGUUUUUGCUUUAACAUUUUGUGUUAUUAGAGGAAUGCUUUUGAUCUUAAAGCUUAAAUCUUAUAAUAUAUUAUGAAAUAUGAACAUGAAAUUUGGCAAUUUAUUGAUUCUGUAAUAUGUAAGACUUUUUUACA
rnacentral:misc_RNA from 1 species